rnacentral:rRNA from 1 species
CCUACGGGAGGCAGCAGUGAGGAAUAUUGGUCAAUGGACGAGAGUCUGAACCAGCCAAGUAGCGUGAAGGAUGACUGCCCUAUGGGUUGUAAACUUCUUUUAUAUGGGAAUAAAACGUUCCACGUGUGGGAUUUUGUAUGUACCAUAUGAAUAAGGAUCGGCUAACUCCGUGCCAGCAGCCGCGGUAAUACGGAGGAUCCGAGCGUUAUCCGGAUUUAUUGGGUUUAAAGGGAGCGUAGGUGGAUUGUUAAGUCAGUUGUGAAAGUUUGCGGCUCAACCGUAAAAUUGCAGUUGAAACUGGCAGUCUUGAGUACAGUAGAGGUGGGCGGAACUCGUGGUGUAGCGGUGAAAUGCUUAGAUAUCACGAAGAACUCCGAUUGCGAAGGCAGUUCACUGGACUGCAACUGACACUGAGGCUCGAAAGUGUGGGUAUCAAACAGGAUUAGAUACCCUUGUAGUC